ACAAGCAGAAAUAUUCCACUUGUCAGAAACAAUUAUUUUUGUAAAUUGUAAAAAUAUUGUUGACCUUCAUUGGGUCUUGGCUGCAGCUAGGGCCAUGGCCAAAAAUUAUGAGCGGCAGUAAAACAACAAAUUUGCAUUUUUCACACGCCUGCUUGGGAAAAGCUCUAAUACUGCGAAGCCGGCCAAAAGUAAUCGACUGGCCAAAACCAGAAACAUGGAAACGUGGCCGCGUGUUAAAUGCAAACAACAUGACUCUGGCUGAAUACAAAGUCCGACUGGCUGGGAUACAAUAGCUGCGUGGGGUCGAGGCCGUCUCGUUUCAGCUGAAUGAAAAGGGAUUUUCGCUAUUCGUUUUUCAUAGUGCCUGCUGCUGAUGUUUCUCAUCUUGCUGGAUCCCAUAUGUUUAAUUUGUUUAACAUGCGCGUUUCACACGGUACAACAACAAACUGUGUGCCCGAGAGCGAUUGGUUGUCCUUCUGAUAUUGGCAUUGCUGCUGUUAAAUAACUUUCAAGUCGAGAGAUAUUCCUAUUAUUAUUCUGUAAUUUACAAUCGUUUAUUUAAAACGUUAUCUGAUCAUCCUAUUUUAAUUGUUGGUAUUAAUACAAGUUCACCCAUGGCCUGGACGUACUGUACGCACAAGCAGCAGGUCCUGUGGCUGUUUUGUCCCAACGUCAAGUUCCCUCGAUCUCACUCACUUUAUAAUUGAUUUAAAUGGCAUACACAAGUUAAGCUAAUGUCUAAAAACAUCACGUAACUGAGA